ensembl:lncRNA
UCUUAAAAUCAGAAAAAAGCCUAGCCUUAACAACACUGCUAACCCUAACCUUUAAUUAAAGGCGCUACACCUAAUGUAUGUGGAAGCUAGGUGAAUUACAACAGCACGAGGCUUCAUUCAAAACAAAUCUCCUUCUCCCUUUUCCACUGUAACAUGGCGGAGACUUGCUCUUGAGCUUUUUCCUUUCGGUUUUGGUCCACCAGCUUCAAACAUCUGUUAUUGAAAUAUAUUUCACAGCGAUUUCGAUUGUACAAUGAUUCCCUACGUUAUUCAGUGUUUGUAUUCAAGCACAAACUGAAAUUGAGCAAACAGUGUUGAAUUUUACCAACCAGGAAAUGACUAUUUCUACAUUGGGCGCUUGACCCGAUUUCCACUAUAUAACACAAACACAAAACAGCUUUCCCAUUUUGACAACAGAUGCAGGACGGGUGGGAGAAAUUAAUAGGCGAAUAUCACAGCCAAUCACAACACUGGCGGGACAAUGCUAGCCCGCACCCCUCCGCCCUCCCAGAAUCCCCGUGUAGCGCCUCUUCUGGUAGCGCCUUACUGCUGGGUCUGAAGAGGGUGACUGUGCGGCUGGUCGACUGCAGGAAAACAACGGGGCUGAGUGGAACUACGAGAAGAGGAGACGAGGAGGAAGAGGGAGAUUUGACUGAUCAAAGUAAAAGACUGCUGGGUCUGAAGAGGGUGUCUGUGCGGCUGGUGGACUGCAGGAAAACAACGGGGCUGAGUGGAACUGUGAGAGGAGGAGGAGAAGUAGAUGACGAGGGAGAUUUGACUGAUCAAAAUAAGUAGGAUGUUUAUGUAGGAGCAGAAUGUGUUUACUUUGGACUUCAACCUACACAUUAAUAAUAUGAAGAAGACGCAGAAGAAGCAGCUGCUAUCCUACUAGGAACAUGAAACACAACUCAUCUCCUGGCGGCACACAACAUUUAAAAUAACAUGUUUUUAUAAUAAAUAUUCUGCACUGGCAUUUGAACAAAAUACAAAUAUUCUGACCAUUAUGAAUAACUUCAUUGUGUAGUAGAUCAUAAAUAAUCUGUAAAUGUGAUUAGGAAGUGGAAUCUGGACCAGUGGUGAGAAUUCUCAUUCAACAUAAACAUGAUUAGGAAGUGGAAUCUGGACUAACAGAUCUUACAGGAAGUACAGGUCGUAAAAACAUUGUCUUGAGACACCAUGACACGUCAAGACAUAAGAAAACUAUAUUUAGAGAAGUGUCUUCAAGACAUUUUCUAGGCUCUUCCCGACAGCUAAAGGGAUUCUCUACUUUACGCUCAGUCUCUGCUCUACUCAUUUGGCUAAUCAGAGAACAGGCUACUCUGGAAAGAAUUGUUAAAUCAAAGCUCAAUCAAUCUCCUCAAGAUCACAUAAUGAUAGGAUUCUACAUAACAGAACCGACUAUAAACAGAACACAAAGAGACUGUGUGUGUGUAAAGUAGAGAAACCCGUACAUCCACAUGCGCAGAAACAUCAGGACAUUUAGCUGUCGGGAAGAGGGGUCCAGAAAAGUCAGACCUGUAGCCACUCCGUUUUUUAUAUUAGUGGUUUGAGAGAUGCCGUAAAAUGUUUUAAGACAUACAUUUUGAAGACAUGUCUUGAGACAUAAUGGCAUCUUAAGAUGUCUUUAAAAAAGUAUAUGUCUUGAAGUGUCUCAAGAUGUCUCAACUUGUGAUGGCUGGGUAUGUAGGUUUCUAAACGAUCAGAAACACAUUUUCGCAGUCUUCACUUUGGACUUCCAUAGUCCGAUUGUGUUAGAAAACCAUUUUGGUGAAAGGUGGUAAUAAAGGGAACAAAGACGGUGUGAUGAACGUUUCCAUAUCUUCUGUCGGUGGCUUUUAUCCUUUUAUGGAAAUAGGGAGAACGUGCAUUUUAUAGCUAAAAAAAGUCUUGAACAAAUUGUUGACAGUUCUGAAUAACUUAAACAUCAGCUCUUUGCUGUAUUCGUUGAGUCUUUCUCUAGUCAUGUUUUUCAAAGUUUAGAAAUCUCACAAUAUCCACUUUGCUGUGCGUUCGAGGUUUCUUUUUACAGUCUAUGGCUCGUGGAAACUGCAGACACAGUGAUCUGAGCUAUCUGAUUGGCCAGUGGUAGGCCUAUAGGUGCACUUGAUUUGCUCUCUGGGCCUGUCAGGUAGGCAUAGUUCUACCUUCAAACACAUUAAAUGGUUAAAAAUGGGAACACUUUGCCUUCCCGGUGCUAGGGCUGUUGAAUUUGGGUGCACAUACAACCAACAGUGCGCAACGAAUAAAAAAUAAAUAGGAACAGGUUUUAUCUUAGUUUUUUUUUACAGAAAUGUUUAGUGAUCAACUAGGAAUGCCUUGGAGAUCUACCAGUUGGUGACCACUGUAGUAAGAUGUUCUCUCAAUUGGCAAGUCUGAAAAGACACCAGCGGGGACACACACUGAAGAGAAGCCAUACCACUGCUCUGACUGUGGAAAGAGUUUUGCUGACUCAAGAAGCCUGAGACUUCACCAGACAACACACACUGGAGAGAGUUUUUCACAAUCAAGUGAGCUUAAGGUUCACCAACUUAAGAAACACAGAGGAGAAGCCUUACUUCUGCUCUGGAUGUGGGAAACGCUUUUCACAAUCAUAAGCAUUAAAGACAAGAGAACACACAGUGGAGAGAAGCCUUAACACUGCUCAGGCUGGAAAGAGUUUUUCACAAUCAAGUGGGCUUAAAAGUCACCAGCGAACACACAUGGGUGGAGAAAAAAAUAUGACAUUAAACACCAGUUUUCCCUUUUAAAAAGUUUAACUACAGACCCCUCAGAGCUUUACAGUAAUGUUUUCCUCAUUGAAAUAAGAGCCAUGUUUAUACCUGGUGCUAUCAUGUGUUUCCUUUGUCCUGAACUUGUCCACAUUCUGAUUUGUGUCCACAUUUACACAGACAAGUAAAAUAACUGAUUAGCAGCAACAUUUCCUGAGGUAGUUUGGGACAAAUUGAUUGGCUGGAUCAAAGCUUACUGACAGGCCAGUGGGCAGGGUUUACAGGUGAGCGUGAAAUAAGAAAAGG